CGGACCGGGCCCAAGUCCCCUGGAAAGGGGCGCCUGGGAGGGUGAGAGCCCCGUCCGGCCCGGACCCUGUGCCCCCACGAGGCGCGGUCAACGAGUCGGGUUGUUUGGGAAUGCAGCCCAAAUCGGGCGGUAGACUCCGUCCAAGGCUAAAUACAGGCGAGAGACCGAUAGCGAACAAGUACCGCGAGGGAAAGAUGAAAAGGACUUUGAAAAGAGAGUCAA
rnacentral:ncRNA from 1 species